rnacentral:Y_RNA from 1 species
GACUGGACCGAGUGCAGUGGUGUUUACAACUAAUUUGAUCACAAGCAGGAGCAGAUUUCUUUGUUCCUUCUCCACUCCACUGCUUCACUUGACUAGCCUUAA